UCAGAUGGCUGGAUGGCCGCCCUGGCGGGGCGGACGCGCCGCGUUCGCCCCCGUUGGGGAGGAAAGUCCGGGCUCCACGGAAACACGGUGCCGGAUAACGUCCGGCGGGGGCGACCCUAGGGAAAGUGCCACAGAAAGCAAACCGCCCGUCCGCGACCCUUCGGGACUCGCCGGCGGGUAAGGAUGAAAGGGUGCGGUAAGAGCGCACCGCCCCCCUGGCGACAGGGGGGGCAUGGUAAACCCCACCGGGAGCAAGACUGAGGGAGAACGGUUGGCCCCACCCUCCGGUUCGCCGGGGUGGUGAUGGCAGGCGGGUUUCCGCGCCGCCGUUCAGGUAUGUCGCACGAGGCGUCCGGCGACGGGCGUCCCAGAUGAAUGGCCAUCCAUCGCGCCCCGAGUCGGCCAGACCGGGGCGCGGGGACAGAACCCGGCUUACAGGCCAUCUGACGCC
rnacentral:RNase_P_RNA from 1 species